rnacentral:other from 1 species
AAGCUCCUGAAGUGUGCGCCAAGGUCUUGUUUUUACCCACAUUUCGUAAAAUGGAGUUCGCGUUCGGUGCUUUAUGUCAGGCCCCCGUACCUUGUACGCCAGGGGAAGACAACGAGGUAUCGAUAGAACACCAGCCUGCUUAACAUAGCGGGUGAAAAAACGGAUACAGCGGCACUUUGGGACUUA